GUCAGGGUUUUCCCUGCAUGGAAAUGGAAUGUGUUGAGGGAAUAUUCUACAGAACCGCUUCGUGGUGGUCCUGCAUCGGUGGCAAUUUGAACCCUUGUCAAUAGAGGUUAAAGUUGAAGAUGACCCCUGGGGGUCAGCCGUUGGGGUCAAGGGUCAGAGGUGAACUAUCGCCACAACAAUCUGACAGACAGACUCCCAAAGGCGUGUAGCCUACGGGCAUGACCAAAUAUAGAGACCCACAACCACGCCACAUCACAAGACAGUGACGGCAUGGACUCAAAGUAGAUGUCACCAUAGCAUUAAGUCUAUCGGAUAUGUCACCUUUGACGCUUGACCUCUAGUGACAUACCCUAGGGGACACCAGUGGUCGAUGACAUCAUCCGACCACAGUCUCCGGUGACAGGCGGGCAGCGUCAGCAUAGCUGGAUGUGACUAAUGGAAAGAUAAAGUUGCUAGGAGUGGUGGUAGGAGUCAGGCGCAGAGAGCAGAGGGACAAUAUUUAAACAACUGUAGCUAUACAUCUUAGCAGUAUCUGUGUGGCUUGGAGUGAUUUAUACAGUCAGCAUCUUUUAGAAAACAGCACAAUUCAUUAAAGAAUACCAAGAACCCUUUGAAUGGCUCACCGCCAAGGACGCUACAGCGGGAGAAGAGAUUUGACAGGAGAGGAGAGAAAAAGAAGAGAUUAAAAAGAAAAGAGACAGAAAGAAAAGAAUCAGAAAUAAAGCCCUGACAGGCACAGAGAGAUUCAUAGGAUGUAACCCCCCCAUAUGAUAACAUACUAGCCAAUCAGAGAGAAAUGAAAUGUGCAAUUAACCACUAGGCAGGAAGUAGGAGGCGUGU
rnacentral:lncRNA from 1 species